CCGCAGCGCUUAAUUAUCCCGUGCGGUGCCUCAAUUAUUAGCGCAGCGUCUUAAAUCAGUAAGCGAUUUCAUCCCUGUGAGAUACCUCAGGUAAAUAUCGAUCGGGGAAGUUUAUGAAUACACAGUGUAGCUAGCUGUUUACCGUGUACUGAUAAGGGUUUAAAGACGACACGUGUUGGUGAAAGUCUGUGUUUUCACAAGUUUGCGGUUAAUUGGAGCAGGAGUGAUUGGAUUAUAAUUAGUUAAAGAUUAUAAUUAGUCUCUGCAACGAAAUGGGAUAACAGUUGGUGACGGAAUGCAGGGGCUCUUUCAUCACUCUUCUCCCUUGAAGAAGACCGGGCGGUUAUUGAAUGGGCACAGGCGAAAGCCACCCUUACCACAGAUGAACACUUUGCGCACCAUGGAGUGGAUUGUUGGUAAUCUGUCCAAGUCUCACCCAAACCUGAGCAAAGUCGCUACAGUGGGACUGCUUCUACUAACCUCCACAGCUGAUUGUGAGAGAGGUUUCAGCAGUUGAAUGUGUAAAGACCACCCACCAUUCACCCGUGAGCAUAAAAGUGCUUAAUGCCUUACUCAUGGUGUCCAUGCAGGGACAAAAAUUGAAUGACUUUAAUUUCAGUGGUGCAGUAAAGGAAUGGCACAGAGCCAAAGACAGACACUUACCGGU
rnacentral:lncRNA from 1 species